UUCGAGAUUUACUUACCUGAAUGAUUGAGCAUGCAUCAAGAAGAAUUUAGAAUGGAUUACCUUGCUGAAUCCUUUUAGACAAGGGACUUAGGACUUACUAUCUAAUCGUGUCCCACAUAGAUGAUGUUCUCCAGUGCCCACUGUAAUGUGGAGAAGCUCACUUUACGAUUUUUUGAUCAGUAACAAGACAGAACCAGACGUGGAAGCUGCGGGAUGCUGGACGGGCUCAGCUGAACCUCUAGCUGUCAUGGUGUAGCUGAGAUAUAAUGUACGAAUUGUGAACAUUCUCAAAACUGUAUUGUACAUAGGUUAUACUUUUUUAUUGUGUGAACUUUAUUUUUGUGGAACUAAGGUUCCGUGUGUUAUUGUUGAAGUGGGACAUUAAUCAGUGUAACGCCACCUGCGGCCACAUUGCGGGUGUGGGGUUUCCUAGCCAGAGCUGUACGGACUCCACACUGGGUGAGGAGAAGCCUGCUGCCGCUGUGUGACACUGAUUUUGCUGCUGCACUCUGUUUUAUAGGAAUAAACCCUGUUUCCAGCCAGUCCGUGUCUGUUGUCACAACGCAGUCGACCAUUUCACAUCUGCUACAAUGGCAGGAUGCUGGAUGGGCUCGGCUGAACAUCCAGCUGGCGUGGCAGGGCGAGCAGGUGCGAAAACCUCUGGCUGAGGCAUGGCAGGUGACGGCAUAGCAACCACAGACGGCAGGGCGGGCUCUCCAGAGCACUCAGCAGGAACUGAUGGCGGAGCGGGAGCUGUGGAGUGCUGGGGUGGUUCGCCUGAACCCCCAGCAGACACUAGAAGAGUCUACACAAACUGCUCAGUGACCCCCAUGGAAGCAGAAACAGGCUCUUCGGGAGGUCCGGAGCAAAGUUAGUCCUCCAAAUCAGCCUCUGGAUCCAACCUGGCCUGGGUCUCAGUCCCACAGGGGCUUUGCUGAGCCUCACGGCUAGCAUCUCCAGUGAAAACAGUCUCGAAGCCUGACUUCUUAGAAGCAUGGGUCGUGGCAUGAUCAAUACACAGAGAUGCUAGAUAAUUGUGCAAAGCGAUAAGAUGUUCUGUGGAAGACUUGGGCAGUAACUUGUCAGUCUUAGUCCUUUCAUGAACAUGAACAGUCUCUUCAUAACCGGGCCAAUGAACUAGCAAAUCUGUGUUGAUUUUAGCUUCCUCCUUAGAAAAAACACGCGGAACACAGUCACCCACCUCAUGCUGCUGUAAGCCGGGGUGAUGACGUGGACACCGCCUCCUCCUGGAAGCCACGGUUGUGGAAGCUGGCGCUGCCAUGGCUGAGGUGAAUGUGGUGCUAGAAGCAGCCACUGGUUGUGUCCAGGAAAAUGCAGCACUUGUCUGCUGCUGCAUCGACAUGGACCUGGAGACAGGCGGGAGGCUCAACACGCCAACUUUAAUUCCUGUAUCUGGUGUAGGGAGAGCUGCGUCACACAGGGGCUGGAGUGAUCCAGUCUGCAUGCUGAGGGACUUGCUGCUUUGGCAGUGAAUGGGAAACUCCUCCAGUUGUAGCCAAAAAAAGUCUUUGUGCUGCUCCGAUAAGCGCUCCACAAAAAACAGGUUGGCAGCAAUAAUCCGACAUAGCUGGACCCGAAUAGAUUCUUUCUCCACCUCCUCCCCUUGAGCAGAGAAGAUAAUCCAAAAUCCAUGGAGCUGUGUGACGUGGACACUGUUAAGCGUUCAAAUAUUGAGGAGGAAUACAGGAGGGAUUCAAAAUCACAACACUUGUCCAGGAGGGUUGGGACAAACGAUGAUUUUAAUAAACACACGUGUGGGGGGAUGAACACUGUCACACACUCAGCGUCAAUCUCCGCCCAAUAAUACACAAGCAGUUGUUUUUAUAGCAUCACGGUAUUAUUUAUGAUGCCCCCUCAUGCGUCAAGCAGAUACAACCCAUAUGGAAAAGAAAUAGUAAAAACUUAUAU